CCUACGGGUGGCAGCAGUAGGGAAUAUUGCUCAAUGGGGGAAACCCUGAAGCAGCAACGCCGCGUGGAGGAUGAAGGUUUUCGGAUUGUAAACUCCUUUUGUUAGAGAAGAAAAUGACGGUACCUAACGAAUAAUCACCGGCUAACUCCGUUCCAGCAGCCGCGGUAAUACGGAGGGUGCAAGCGUUACUCGGAAUCACUGGGCGUAAAGGGCGCGUAGGCGGGAUUGCAAGUCAGUUGUGAAAUCCUAGGGCUUAACCAUAGAACUGCAUUUGAAACUGUUAUUCUAGAGUAUGGGAGAGGUAGGUGGAAUUCUUGGUGUAGGGGUGAAAUCCGUAGAGAUCAAGAGGAAUACUCAUUGCGAAGGCGGCCUGCUAGAACGUAACUGACGCUGAUGCGCGAAAGCGUGGGGAGCAAACAGGAUUAGAUACCCCAGUAGUC
rnacentral:rRNA from 1 species